CCCUUAGAUGUUCUGGGCCGCACGCGCGCUACACUGAUGCAUUCAACGAGCCUAUCCUUGACCGACAGGUCCGGGUAAUCUUUGAAUCUGCAUCGUGACGGGGAUAGAUUAUUGCAAUUAUUAAUCUUCAACGAGGAAUGCCUAGUAAACGCAAGUCAUCAGCUUGCAUUGAUUACGUCCCUGCCCUUUGUACACACCGCCCGUCGCUCCUACCGAUUGAAUGAUCCGAUGAAUACCAUGGAUUGAGAGUACGAAUGGGUUCGCUCAUUUCUGCUGCUCGAGAAGUGGAGUAAAUCUUAUCAUUUAGAGGAAGGAGAAGUCGUAACA
rnacentral:rRNA from 1 species